GACGAACGCUGGCGGCGUGCUUAACACAUGCAAGUCGAACGAUGAACCGGUUUCGGCCGGGGAUUAGUGGCGAACGGGUGAGUAACACGUGGGCAAUCUGCCCUGCACUCUGGGAUAAGCCCGGGAAACUGGGUCUAAUACCGGAUACGACACUCCGAGGCAUCUUGGGGUGUGGAAAGUUCCGGCGGUGUAGGAUGAGCCCGCGGCCUAUCAGCUUGUUGGUGGGGUAAUGGCCUACCAAGGCGACGACGGGUAGCCGGCCUGAGAGGGUGACCGGCCACACUGGGACUGAGACACGGCCCAGACUCCUACGGGAGGCAGCAGUGGGGAAUAUUGCACAAUGGGCGAAAGCCUGAUGCAGCGACGCCGCGUGAGGGAUGACGGCCUUCGGGUUGUAAACCUCUUUCAGCAGGGAAGAAGCGAAAGUGACGGUACCUGCAGAAGAAGCACCGGCUAACUACGUG
rnacentral:rRNA from 1 species